CCAUUAGCUGGAAAACACAGGAGACAUUUUGUAGACGUUUACAGAAACCACUGAACAGACAUAAACUACUUUAACCAGAACUGACUGUAGACGCAAGCAGUUACAGCGGACUGAAUAACCACCUCAAGUCUCUUAUUGCUCUUGUAAAACAGUUUCUAAUAAAGUAUGAAGGGCAUAUUGCUGAAAACCUGAUGCAGUGAAUCAGACGGAGAGUAAGGACUGGAAACGGCUGUUUCUCAUGAAUCAGCAUGCUCUGCUUCCUUUAUCUGAAUAAUGUUUUAACUCACUUCUCCUUUAUAUCAGAGGAGUUUCUCCAGCACAUGACAUUCCUUUGUUUUCUCAAUGAAUGAGGCCUCUGACCUUCCCAUUGAGAAAAAGCCAUGGUAAGCUCCGCCCCUCUGACACGAUUGGUCAGAAUGAAGAGGCACCGCCCCCCUGAGCUCCCGCCUCUCUUUAAAGGGGUCGGACCGGCAACAUGUGACUCGACUACAGCGUGGGAGUAAAACGGUGAAAGAAGAACAGAUCUGGAGUGAGGUGAAACUGGAGGAGAGGAACGAAAGAAAGAAAGAAAGAAAGAGAAAGGAGGAGAUAUAAUGAAAGCUGAAGAGAGGUUUCUGCUGGACGAAUGAUUCCAGACUCCAGACCGGAUUCACUGGGAAGAAGAGAAAGAACGUGGAAAACAGGAGGUUUGCAAACAGGUAUCUCACGUCACGUUUGAUUGUGCAAUUGUUUGCCGACUCAAGAUAGCAGCGAGGAACAGGUUUAGGGUCAGAGAGAGAAAGAGUGAGAGACACAGGCUGGAAGAAGAGAAAAGUGAAGAACAAAGGGAAGAAUCCUCUUUUCCAUCAUCCUGAUGGACGAGACAAACCCUUACCCUCCGAAACACUGUGCUUUCGUGGGCACCAGUCCAGUCACAGAAGUUGUGAAGUAUCAGCUUCCACAUCAGAUGUUCACCUGAAGGAUCCAGAGAAAUGAUUCGGCUGUCCCAUGAAACUCAUGAGUAGUUAUGACAUGAACUGAUGUGCUGCAGUCACACAAGGCUAAACUCUACAAUCUACCAACCAUUUUAAAUUAGCCACAAAUUCUCAUAUAUUUAUCUUCCAUAUGGUUUUAAUGUGCUCAUGUUAUUUAAGGGAUACCCAUAAUAUCUGGGCUCUUCAGUAAAUGCCAGCUAGAGUUAAUAUUCUCAUGUACAUGUUGAUCAGCGUUCUCUCGACUCUGAGCCUGAUCUGUUUCAGAAACUGUACGCAGUGUCUGAGACGUGGUCAUUGUGUUUGUCCUUGCUCUGGGUGUCGUGAAGGGAAGCCGAGCGAGAGCAUGUGGGUGAAGGGUGAAGCAUGCUUUUAUGAAUGGGCUGCUGGGACGAGCGCUCUGAUUGGUCAGACCCACGCCUCUGUGUCUGUAGUGAAAUACGACACCACCGCGUUACCACUGCUGCUCUUAUCACCCCUUACAACAAAGCUGUAAGAUGCAUGUCUACUUCACUGAAAGAGAAGGCUUUUCCUGCCAAGAGUCUUGAAACGCGGUCAGUUCUUGACCCCUGUGCGUCCAGGAACAGCAUGGACUGCAUCUGAGCUCAAGAGUUGGUCAACAACGGCAGCUGUCACACAAUGAGUAGAGAGAGAGAGAGACACGGAAGGGAGCGUGUACCCACGUUCACCCCUUUACCUAGAGCUUAAACACUUCCUGUUCUGUCCUCUCACAUCUCCAGAGGUCACACGCAGGUCAUCAUGGAGCGUCCGACUGACCACAUCCUGUAUCAGAUGACAGACCUACUGAUGUGCUAAACAUUUAGUGAAGGAUAGCAGAGAUGACGGCAGCGUCACGCUCACUGACUUCCAGUCCUUUUCCUGCCAAAUCAUGGAAAACUUGAGUCGUGUGACAUCACGGAAACAGGAGAAGCGGAGUGGAAAAAGAGUGUCACACGUCAGUCAUGUGACAGAAAGAGAAGGACAGCAUGAAGAGGUCAAGCGAUCGUCAUCACUGAUAACUGAACAUUACCUGUGCAUUUCCCUCUAGGUGCAGCGUGACGUCUCUCAGCCUGCUGCAAACCUGCUGACUCGAGCGGAGCACACACACACACACACACACACACACACGAGUCAGGGCUCCUUAUCAUGGAGCUACCAUCCUGUUUAACUUUCCAUCGGCGGUCCCUGAACUCUUUCCAGGCCACAUCUGCCCCUCACACUCACUUCCAGUCUGUUCCUCGAUCAGUUUAAUCCACUUGUGUUGGUGCAUCACAUACGUCUCGUGAAGUAUUCUCCCUUCAGUGUAUCAGUGGGGUCCAUGAGAUCACGUCAGUUUCUGGUUAACCCAGUCGUCUAUCUUCUGUCUAGACCGGAGCAGAGCUGCACGAGGCGUCCAUCCUUUGCUCAGUGGUCAGUGUAGGUCCUGUUCUCCUCCAGCAGCUACAUCUGGCUACUGGGUCUCUGAUGUCGUUCUGUGAUCGAGCAACGCUUCACAACACUGCAGCUAAAGCCAGACCCACGGAGGAAAACGAGACUGAUGUGGUUUUGAACCUGGCAUACAGUGUAGAGAUCUGUGUUUGUCAAAUUACAGCUACAUUGUCUGCUGGGUUUCAGAGCCACUUCAUAACGCCGGAGGCUUUUAGUCAGGAAACGUUUAACACCAUGUCAGUCUUCAAAUGAUUCAAUAAAGACUAAACAUGGUCA